AUACUUAAUAUAUAUGCAGUAGGAGCCUUUCCUACUGUCUCAACCUUAAAAAAAAAACAACUCUAAAAAGAUAUUAUCAUACAAUUUUACCCUUGCAUGUCUCUUUAGCUUCUUUCCUUUGCUAUUUUCUAUUAUGUAGCAAUAUUUGUGACUUAUUACAUGAACGUCUAUGAAAUAUCAAGCUUUCAGUAUCCCAGGAUUUUGCUACCAAUCAUUGUUUUUCUUGGGUGACAAACCAAUCAUUGGUUCUUACUUAAAUUCUUGCAUGAUAUUAAUCAUUCACCAUAUUGCACUUGGUGAGACCAUUUAUCAUGAAUGAGGAAGAGGAGAUCCUGGCCACUGCACUGCAUCUUCCAUAGGCUUGUGGCGAGGAUUAUAUCCCCAACAUCCUCCUGCAAGCCUGCAGCUACUGCCUCCCUAGAUAACGUCAAUCUACAUCAGCAAGGCUCUACCAUCACACAAAGCAAACAAUCAUGUGGAUUUGUGCAGUUCUCCCUCUGGAUGCGCUCGAUCUUGGAGACACCUUCUCGGCCUACAGAUUGUGACCAUAAUUGUGAGCUUUAUGGGCGGCAACUCACUGGAUAAAUAUAAUGGACUUGAGUGGUGGAUUUAGUAGCUUUUGAAAUGGGCCUUACUCUCUGGUUUCUCCUUCCACGACAGCAUGGUGUAGGAGUCGGCAUGACGCUGUGUAAGGUACUAAUGGUCUCUGAGGGUUUCGGAGUACUAUGAGCAUUGCCCAAGGUUCACACGACAGCGACUGCUAGAGAAGGCAUUCACCUCAAUGCAGGGGACAUAUGGUCUUUUGGACUACACCUCUUCGGACAACACGACAAGCAAGAUCUUUUUAGACAGAUCUAUCCAAUACACUACUAUCACCAUAUGCCAUAGAGCUAUAUAUAUCGGUUCUCUUAGGCUUCUGUUAGGACUUGCUUUUGGUAUAUCAUGCGACAUUUUCUAUGACAUGCUCAAAGUGAUGUAAUGAACCAAACCGUUACUGUUAUAAGUGCUUAGUUCCUCCUAUUUCUUUGAGAAAUCUGAAUGCUGGAAUCAAUGAUCUCUAUGUUUCCUUCAACCUGUGGGAUACAGUGUACCC